rnacentral:rRNA from 1 species
GUGUCGGACGUGAAAUACCGGGGCUUAACCCCGGUGCUGCGUCCGAAACUAUGAGUCUAGAGACUUGGAGGGGUAAGCGGAAUUCUUGGUGGAGCAGUGAAAUGCGUAGAUAUCAAGAGGAACACCAACGGCGAAGGCAGCUUACUGGACAAGAUCUGACGCUCAGGCUCGAAAGCGUGGGGAGCAAAAGGGAUUAGAUACCCCUGUAGUCCACGCUGUAAACGGUGCGCAUUAGGUCUUGGAGCUUUCGAACGCUCCAGGGCUCAAGCUAACGCGAUAAAUGCGCCGCCUGAGGACUACGGCCGCAAGGCUAAAACUCAAAGGAAUUGACGGGGGCCCGCACAAGCGGUGGAGCAUGUGGCUUAAUUCGAUGCAACGCGAAGAACCUUACCUAGGUUUGACAUGGACGUGGUACCCGGGGCGAAAGCUUUGGGGACCCGCAAGGGAGCGUUCACAGGUGCUGCAUGGCUGUCGUCAGCUCGUGU